rnacentral:tRNA from 1 species
ACCUGGGUAGCUCAGUAGGUUAAGCAUCUGACUCUUCAUUUCAGCUCAGGACAUGAGCUCACGGUUCGUGGGUUCGAGCCCCGCCUUGGGCU